rnacentral:rRNA from 1 species
AACAGAUUUACUUCGGUAAUGACGUUAGGAAAGCGAGCGGCGGAUGGGUGAGUAACACGUGGGGAACCUGCCCCAUAGUCUGGGAUACCACUUGGAAACAGGUGCUAAUACCGGAUAAGAAAGCAGAUCGCAUGAUCAGCUUUUAAAAGGCGGCGUAAGCUGUCGCUAUGGGAUGGCCCCGCGGUGCAUUAGCUAGUUGGUAAGGUAAAGGCUUACCAAGGCGAUGAUGCAUAGCCGAGUUGAGAGACUGAUCGGCCACAUUGGGACUGAGACACGGCCCAAACUCCUACGGGAGGCAGCAGUAGGGAAUCUUCCACAAUGGACGCAAGUCUGAUGGAGCAACGCCGCGUGAGUGAAGAAGGUUUUCGGGAUCGUAAAGCUCUGUUGUUGGUGAA